GCCGGUGUAGCUCAGUUGGUAGAGCAGCUGAUUUGUAAUCAGCGGGUCGGGGGUUCAAAUCCUCUCGCCGGCU
rnacentral:tRNA from 2 species